UACGUAGGGACCAAGCGUUGUUCGGAUUUACUGGGCGUAAAGGGCGCGUAGGCGGCAAUUCAAGUCAUCUGUGAAAUCUCUGGGCUUAACCCAGAACGGCCAGGUGAUACUGCUUUGCUAGAGUGCGGAAGGGGCAAUCGGAAUUCUUGGUGUAGCGGUGAAAUGCGUAGAUAUCAAGAGGAACACCUGAGGUGAAGACGGGUUGCUGGGCCGACACUGACGCUGAGGAGCGAAAGCCAGGGGAGCAAACGGG
rnacentral:rRNA from 1 species